CGACCGGCGCACGGGUGCGUAACGCGUAUGUAACCUACCCUUUACCGGGGGAUAGCCCGGAGAAAUUCGGAUUAACACCGCAUAAUAUAUAGUUUCGGCAUCGGAGUUAUAUUAAAUAUUUAUAGGUAAAGGAUGGGCAUGCGUCCAAUUAGCUUGUUGGUGAGGUAACGGCUCACCAAGGCGAUGAUUGGUAGGGGUUCUGAGAGGAAGGUCCCCCACACUGGUACUGAGAUACGGACCAG
rnacentral:rRNA from 1 species